CACAAUAUUCAAGGCACACUGUUCAAUGGUAAUUUUCUUUUCACAACGCAUGCGCUGUGUACUUCAACCACUUGAAAUACUAAAAGUGUUUUGUAUGUGUUAAGACGAUAAAAACUCUGCAAAAAAUCAAGACACGCAAGUCGCAAAGUCUGGAAGAAUGGCAUCGUCGCAGCCAACAUCAAGCGAAUACCCCGAAAUUAAAAAAUGUAAUCGCUGUCGUGAUUUCUAUAUCACGGCUAAAUGUGGGCACACUGUUCAUCUCUCCCCGUUGAUGGAGUCAUGGGGAAAAUUCCAAUGCAAAAUUUGUGGUGUAUCGGACGCUGGUGUCAAAUAAUUAAUAUCUAGUUGUUUUGACGAAGAAGUAGAUCGCUUCUUAGAAGAUUUUUUUCAGUAGGUAUUUUUAUAAUUCUUUAUCCUUUUCACAUUGAUACAGUAGAACAGUCAUAAUAACCACAAUAACAAGAAAAAGCUUACGCAUAAGACGUGGUUAAUCAACUGACCACAGUCUACGCGCAAGCGGUUAACCCUACGUCAUUGUACGAUCACUUACUUAUAAGCAGAGAAACGAAAGCUUUAGUCAUGUUGGUACUCAGUAGAAGUCCACAUCAAAAGAAAGUCACAAGUAAAAGUUAAACAAACGAGAAAC